rnacentral:rRNA from 1 species
GAGUUUGAUCCUGGCUCAGGAUGAACGCUGGCGCGUGCUUAACACAUGCAAGUCGAACGAUGAACCGGAGCUUGCUCCGGGGAUUAGUGGCGAACGGGUGAGUAACACGUGAGCAAUCUGACCCCAGACUCUGGAAUAACACUUGGAAACAGGUGCUAAUACCGGAUACGAGACGCGAAGGCAUCUUCAGCGUCUGGAAAGAACUUCGGUCUGGGGAUGAGCUCGCGGCCUAUCAGCUUGUUGGUGAGGUAACGGCUCACCAAGGCGACGACGGGUAGCCGGCCUGAGAGGGUGACCGGCCACACUGGGACUGAGACACGGCCCAGACUCCUACGGGAGGCAGCAGUGGGGAAUAUUGCACAAUAGGCGCAAGCCUGAUGCAGCAACGCCGCGUGAGGGAGGAAGGCCUUCGGGUUGUAAACCUCUUUUAGCAGGGAAGAAGCGAAAGUGACGGUACCUGCAGAAAAAGCACCGGCUAACUACGUG